GACGAACGCUGGCGGCGUGCCUAAUACAUGCAAGUCGAACGCAGUGGGGACGGGUGAGUAACAAGUGGGUAACCUCCCAGCAGAGGGGAUAACACUUGGAAACAGGUGCUAAACCGAUACUGAUGGAUGGACCAGGGGUGCAUUAGCUAGUUGGUGAGGUAACGGCUCACCAAGGCCACGAUGCAUAGCCGACCUGAGAGGGUGAUCGGCCACACUGGGACUGAGACACGGCCCAAACUCCUACGGGAGGCAGCAGUGGGGAAUCUUCGGCAAUGGACGAAAGUCUGACCCAGCAACGCCGCGUGAGUGAAGAAGGUUUUCGGAUCGUAAAACUCUGUUGUUAGAGAAGCGGUAUCUAACCAGAAAGCCACGGCUAACUACGUGCCAGCCGCCGCGGUAAUAC
rnacentral:rRNA from 1 species